AAUAGAUACCCUGGUAGUCCACGCUGUAAACGAUGAGUGCUAAGUGUUAGAGGGUUUCCGCCCUUUAGUGCUGCAGCUAACGCAUUAAGCACUCCGCCUGGGGAGUACGGUCGCAAGACUGAAACUCAAAGGAAUUGACGGGGGCCCGCACAAGCGGUGGAGCAUGUGGUUUAAUUCGAAGCAACGCGAAGAACCUUACCAGGUCUUGACAUCCUCUGACAACUCUAGAGAUAGAGCGUUCCCCUUCGGGGGACAGAGUGACAGGUGGUGCAUGGUUGUCGUCAGCUCGUGUCGUGAGAUGUUGGGUUAAGUCCCGCAACGAGCGCAACCCUUGAUCUUAGUUGCCAGCAUUUAGUUGGGCACUCUAAGGUGACUGCCGGUGACAAACCGGAGGAAGGUGGGGAUGACGUCAAAUCAUCAUGCCCCUUAUGACCUGGGCUACACACGUGCUACAAUGGAUGGUACAAAGGGCUGCAAGACCGCGAGGUCAAGCCAAUCCCAUAAAACCAUUCUCAGUUCGGAUUGGUA
rnacentral:rRNA from 1 species